UCGAACGAGAAAGCGGGGGCAACUCCGUGAGUAAAGUGGCGCACGGGUGAGUAACACGUAGCUAACCUACCCUCAAGCGGGGGAUAACCUGGGGAAACCCGGGCUAAUACCGCAUGACAUCCCGAUGACGCAGGUCGUCGGGAUCAAAGGCCUUGCAAGGGCCACUGGAGGAGGGGGCUGCGGCCGAUUAGCUAGUUGGUGAGGUAACGGCCCACCAAGGCGAUGAUCGGUAGCCGGCCUGAGAGGGCGCACGGCCACACUGGCACUGAAACACGGGCCAGACUCCUACGGGAGGCAGCAGUGGGGAAUUUUGCACAAUGCCCGAAAGGGUGAUGCAGCAACGCCGCGUGAGGGAUGAAGGCCUUCGGGUCGUANACCUCUUUCGACCGGGAAAAACGGGCUGGUGAAGAGCCAGUCCUGAUGGUACUGGUGGAAGAAGCCCCGGCUAACUACGUG
rnacentral:rRNA from 1 species